CGAUAAGGGGAUCCCAAGUGCGCAGGCAUAGAGCCUGCGCUUUCCUGAACCAUAGUGACGUUCAGCAACAAGGGCUGGGCAAGACCGGUGCCAGCCGCCGCGGUAAUACCGGCAGCCCGAGUGAUGGCCGAUCUUAUUGGGCCUAAAGCGUCCGUAGCUGGCCGCACAAGUCCAUCGGGAAAUCCGCCUGCCCAACGGGCGGCCGUCCGAUGGAAACUGUACGGCUUGGGACCGGAAGGCGCGACGGGUACGUCCGGGGUAGGAGUGAAAUCCCGUAAUCCCGAACGGACCGCCGAUGGCGAAAGCACGUCGCGAAAACGGAUCCGACAGUGAGGGACGAAAGCCAGGGUCUCGAACCGGAUUAGAUACCCGGGUAGUCCUGGCCGUAAACAAUGUCUGCUAGGUGUGGCUCCCGCUACGAGCGGGUGCUGUGCCGCAGGGAAGCCGCUAAGCAGACCGCCUGGGAAGUACGUCCGCAAGGAUGAAACUUAAAGGAAUUGGGGGGGAAACCACAAAAAC
rnacentral:rRNA from 1 species